rnacentral:rRNA from 1 species
UACGUAGGGACCAAGCGUUGUCCGGAAUCAUUGGGCGUAAAGAGCGUGUAGGCGGCCUGUUAAGUCUUGCGUGAAAUCUCGGGGCUCAACCCCGAGCGGUCGUGAGAAACUGGCAGGCUAGAGUGCGGGAGAGGAGAGUGGAAUUCCUGGUGUAGCGGUGAAAUGCGCAGAUAUCGGGAGGAACACCGGGUGGCGAAGGCGGUCUCUG